ACUUUUAUAGGAUAAUAGUAAUCCAUUGGUCUUAGGAACCAAAAACCUUGGUGCAAAUCCAAAUAAAAGUA
rnacentral:tRNA from 7 species